rnacentral:tRNA from 1 species
GCCGCGGUGGUGGAGCUGGUAUACACAAGAGACUUAAAAUCUCUCGCCCUUUUGGGUUCGCGGGUUCGAGUCCCGCCCGCGGCA